GGAUGUUCCUGGUGAUAUAUUUAGAUGUCAAAAGCAGGGGAGAAAUGAGUUUGUGAUACGUCUCCAACCUUCAGAAGCCAUGUACAUGAAGCUUACGGUCAAGAAACCUGGGCUUGAAAUGUCAACUGUUCAAAGUGAAUUAGACCUGUCGUAUGGGCAGCGUUACCAAGGAGUUGUCAUUCCAGAGGCUUAUGAACGUCUGAUUCUCGACACAAUAAGAGGAGAUCAGCAGCAUUUUGUGCGUAGGGAUGAGCUCAAGGCGGCUUGGGAGAUUUUUACCCCUCUUUUGCAUAGAAUUGACAAUGGAGAGGUGAAGCCAAUUCCAUACAAGCCAGGCAGCAGAGGCCCUGCUGAAGCAGAUGAGUUGUUGCAACAUGCCGGUUACGUUCAAACUCAUGGCUAUAUAUGGAUCCCUCCCACACUAUAAGUUUGGAAAAGUAUUGCAGAUGAGUGCUACCUCGUCACUUUUGCCAUGUAGUAUCCUGCUUAUGUGCAAACUUAUUGAGAAGUAACAAACAGUCCGUGUACCACAAAUAUAUUUGCAUGUAAUAAUCUCAUCUUUUUUAAGCUAAUAAAUGAGAGAGUAUC
rnacentral:misc_RNA from 1 species